rnacentral:rRNA from 1 species
GACGAACGCUGACAGAAUGCUUAACACAUGCAAGUCGACUCGAGUCUGCGGAGCUGGCUGGUCCGGAGGAGAUGAAAACGGAUAAAACACGCCUCUGAAACCGGGACGGUUCUGGAAAUAAAUGCUAAUACCGAAAACUAAUGCUGUUUCGCAUGAAAGAAUGCAUGACGCUUGAUGCACAAGUACAAUUCUUUCCGUCCCAUAUGCUGGUGGGUGAUGUAACGGCCCACCAGGGCCAUGAUGGCAACCCGGCCAGAAAGGAUGAACGGCCUCAAAGGGUGAGCGACCCGGCUCUUACUCCUACGGGAGGCAGCCGCCGGGGGGAUUGGACAAUGGGCCAUCUGCGGGAACGAACAGUACUGUGACCGCGAUAAGCCUUUUGGGGGUUAUUUGCUUUCAGUGUGGAACUAGUUUGACAGAACCGAUGUGUGAGGGACGGGUGUGCACGCGGCUCUGCUGCUUUUUAUUUGUGACGGCUGAGGUUCCUCAUUAUCGGGCGUAAAUGUUGUUCUGGAGUUUAGGACGUCUUGUUGGGAGAUGAGGAGUUCGAUGCUGUUUGAUUCAAAAUCCAUAUUUUUGACUUACUAUGUUGUCUGUGUGUAUUUGUGUUGCUAUAAUCCGUAGAUAUUAUUGGAAUUUCUACUUGAUUAUUUUUAUUGUAUUUUUGUGCUGUUGGAGUGUUGAUGUAUGUUGUGUUUUGUGAUGUGUGUGUGUAGGUGUGAUGAGUGAUGUUCUGCGUUUAUAUUGCCCUUGACUUUGCAUUGUGUUUGUGUUGUAAAAAUAUG